CCUACGGGUGGCAGCAGUGGGGAAUAUUGGACAAUGGGCGAAAGCCUGAUCCAGCCAUGCCGCGUGUGUGAAGAAGGCCUUCGGGUUGUAAAGCACUUUCAGUGGGGAAGAAAGCCUUGGGGCUAAUACCCUCGAGGAAGGACAUCACCCACAGAAGAAGCACCGGCUAACUCCGUGCCAGCAGCCGCGGUAAUACGGAGGGUGCGAGCGUUAAUCGGAAUUACUGGGCGUAAAGCGCGCGUAGGCGGUCUGAUAAGCCGGUUGUGAAAGCCCCGGGCUCAACCUGGGAACGGCAUCCGGAACUGUCAGGCUAGAGUGCAGGAGAGGAAGGUAGAAUUCCCGGUGUAGCGGUGAAAUGCGUAGAGAUCGGGAAGAAUACCAGUGGCGAAGGCGGCCUUCUGGACUGACACUGACGCUGAGGUGCGAAAGCGUGGGUAGCAAACAGGAUUAGAUACCCUUGUAGUC
rnacentral:rRNA from 1 species